UGAAUGACAGGUAUUGUUAUUUUUUUAACAGGAAGGACUAGUCAGAAUCAGAAUCCAUAAUGAGAGGGAAAUGAGCAGGCUGAUAGCCUAUAGAAUAAAACAGAGGGACUGUUUAGCUGUUGGGACUUCCUGUUCUCCGCCCAGCUCCGAGUCUGGCCCUCAGAGACAUCAGUUCCUAUUUGUUGGAUGGAAGGAAAGAAUUACACAAGUCCAGGAGAAAAAAAGAGGUGAAGGCAGAAAACUGCACCCAGCCGAUCCGAGCUGCUUAAGAAUACACAAAACAGUGGAAAAAAUCUCAGGAAUCAUCUUUCCAACAACUGAAGAGGAAGCACAUCUAUCUACAAAGAUCUUAAAUCCAAACUGCCAAAUCCAGCCCAAGUAGCACCUUUUUCUGCCAAGUGUGAGUGGCUGGUUUGGUGGUUUCAAAUAUCUACAGUUUCGAGAGUUUUCGGCUGUCAGGUGCAGAUGAGAAAGCAGCAAAAGAAAUUCCAGCAAUGACACAGAAGCUAACCGAAGAAGCUAUGCUCCGGGUAACAUUAUCGAUGGUGAUGAGACAGGUAUCAUUUCUGCAUGUCUCAGAGGGCCUCCGUCUCAAAGGCAGGAAAGCAUGACCCAGAAUUUAAGGCUACAAAAGAUCUUGUAAGUCUGGUGUUCAGCGCCAAUGCCCAGCAGAGGAUAAUGAGCCAGCCGCCCACAGCAGGUUUUCCAACUUUCUACCCAAUGUCCAGUAAGUGUCCUUUCACCACUUUACAAUAACAAGCCACACCUUUCCACUGCCCAAUUCCGCAAGCGAUCUUCGGGUCCUUUCCAAGGCAAAGUGCCAUAUUUAUUGUCAUUAUUUAUGUAUUUCUUACCCAUUUAACAUGUAUAGA
rnacentral:lncRNA from 1 species